GGCGCGCGGGGAAGCCGGGCGGGGGCGGCCUCUGCCGCCCCUCACCGUAGCUGGGGCGGGCGGCGGGACACUUCCCUCGUAGGCCGUUUCUCUGAGCUAUGAGUGAGGCGAGGGCCUCGAGGCAAGCGUGAGGGCCGGGCCGCGGCUGCCGGAAGCUUUGUCUCGCCCCCGUUAGCGGCGGUGGGAUGCCAAGGGAGACUCACGCUCCGUAUCGUACCGCAAGCUACGUGGGGAGCCAGGGAGCAGAGUCCCGUCGCGCUUGGCAGGUGUCGGAGCCGCCGUUGUAAUAGUGGAGAUUACUUGGAUCUGCAGCUGCUGGGAGAGCUCCUCUCAGAAGAGAAGCCUGAAGACCACAGGGGAUGAUGUUCAACUAUCCCUCCAUCUGUGGCUAGAGUCUGGGUAGUGGGUUGUUUGGACACAGAAUCAAAUGUAAGUAGAUGAGAUGCUGUUGUCUGCGCCUUUGACUAGAGCGUGCCUUAAUCAUGCUAGCCCUAUAUGCCAAAAAGGUUUUCCUGAUAGUCUAGAUACAAUGCAGAGUGCAGGCUUGAUGAUCCAGAACUACUGCAAGGAGGCCACCAUGAAUUGAGAAAGCUACAGUACAGCAGCAUGGUUGGGGAAAAGCAAAGAGAAAACUGGGAAAUAAUAUACAUAUAUAUAUAUAUGUAUAUAUAUAUUUUUUUUUUACAUUGUCAGUGCAUUUUUAUAUUGAACAACUCUAAGGAGCUCUUUUUCAGUAGGCCUAGCUAAGGAUGGGCUGCCUUCUGUAUCCUGGAGUCUCUGGGUGCUGCCAGUGGUUUGUAAUCUUCUCCAGAUCCAAAAUCUACUGUGUCGUGAUAGUUUGUAAAUUCCUGAGGUAAUGGAAACUCCUCUGUUGAUGAGUGAGUCCUGUGUCCAAACACUCUCUCUUGCAGCUCAGCAAUGUCAUUUCUGAUGUCUGCCAUCAUCAGCAACAAGAAGUCAAAUGAACCUGGUGGGCCCUGCAGUCACAAAGCAGGGUCAUUAGUAAUACUGUACUUACAGUUUUCAAAAAUAUCGAUAUAAAUACCCUUGCAGGGGUAAUUCAGUAAAACAUUGCUGCAUGUUGGUUGCCUGAAAUAAAAGAUCUCUCCUUGCAUCAACCUGCUCAGGAAACAGUCUUAAAAAGGCAAAUGUUUUAGCUGACAGAGCCUACAUCUAGAAGAUGCUUAGCUCUUCGUUCACUGUAUCUUUUCUCUAGCAGCAUUUUAACACGCCACAGGAACAAAGAUAAAUCUUGUAAAUUAUUUCUUUUUAGCUGACUUCAUGGUGAAGUUCACUGUUUAAUAUUGGGAACACUCAGUUGCACACCCUGCUAAAAGUCCAUUCCAUUAAUGAGAAAAGACUGUAAGAAGGAAAAUUUUAGACAAUUUUGCUUUAAAAUAGAUUGUAAAUUUCCACCGUUCAACAGCUGACUUGCUCAAAGCCAAUACCUGGUCAAAGUCCCAGAGAGACUAGCGGCAGUUUUCUGAAAGGUUUCAGGGAUCAGGCUACCAGCAGCAGCGUUGGG